rnacentral:rRNA from 1 species
GAUGAACGCUGGCGGCGUGCCUAAUACAUGCAAGUCGAGCGAACAGAUGAGGAGCUUGCUCCUCUGACGUUAGCGGCGGACGGGUGAGUAACACGUGGAUAACCUACCUAUAAGACUGGGAUAACUUCGGGAAACCGGAGCUAAUACCGGAUAAUAUAUUGAACCGCAUGGUUCAAUAGUGAAAGACGGUUUUGCUGUCACUUAUAGAUGGAUCCGCGCCGCAUUAGCUAGUUGGUAAGGUAACGGCUUACCAAGGCAACGAUGCGUAGCCGACCUGAGAGGGUGAUCGGCCACACUGGAACUGAGACACGGUCCAGACUCCUACGGGAGGCAGCAGUAGGGAAUCUUCCGCAAGGGGCGAAAGCCUGACGGAGCAACGCCGCGUGAGUGAUGAAGGUCUUCGGAUCGUAAAACUCUGUUAUUAGGGAAGAACAAAUGUGUAAGUAACUAUGCACGUCUUGACGGUACCUAAUCAGAAAGCCACGGCUAACUACGUG